rfam:Oreochromis niloticus linkage group LG11, whole genome shotgun sequence.
NGCCCUAUAGCUCAGUGGUUAGAGCACUGGUCUUGUAAACCAGGGGUCGCGAGUUCAAAUCUCGCUGGGGCCU